rnacentral:rRNA from 1 species
AACUGAAGAGUUUGAUCAUGGCUCAGAUUGAACGCUGGCGGCAGGCUUAACACAUGCAAGUCGAGCGGAGUGAUGGUGCUUGCACUAUCACUUAGCGGCGGACGGGUGAGUAAUGCUUAGGAAUCUGCCUAUUAGUGGGGGACAACAUUUCGAAAGGAAUGCUAAUACCGCAUACGUCCUACGGGAGAAAGCAGGGGAUCUUCGGACCUUGCGCUAAUAGAUGAGCCUAAGUCGGAUUAGCUAGUUGGUGGGGUAAAGGCCUACCAAGGCGACGAUCUGUAGCGGGUCUGAGAGGAUGAUCCGCCACACUGGGACUGAGACACGGCCCAGACUCCUACGGGAGGCAGCAGUGGGGAAUAUUGGACAAUGGGCGC